GCGGCGGACGGGUAAGUAAUGCUUAGGAAUCUGCCUAUUAGUGGGGGACAACAUUUCGAAAGGAAUGCUAAUACCGCAUACGUCCUACGGGAGAAAGCAGGGGAUCUUCGGACCUUGCGCUAAUAGAUGAGCCUAAGUCGGAUUAGCUAGUUGGUGGGGUAAAGGCCUACCAAGGCGACGAUCUGUAGCGGGUCUGAGAGGAUGAUCCGCCACACUGGGACUGAGACACGGCCCAGACUCCUACGGGAGGCAGCAGUGGGGAAUAUUGGACAAUGGGCGCAAGCCUGAUCCAGCCAUGCCGCGUGUGUGAAGAAGGCCUUAUGGUUGUAAAGCACUUUAAGCGAGGAGGAGGCUACUUUAGAUAAUACCUAGAGAUAGUGGACGUUACUCGCAGAAUAAGCACCGGCUAACUCUGUGCCAGCAGCCGCGGUAAUACAGAGGGUGCAAGCGUUAAUCGGAUUUACUGGGCGUAAAGCGCGCGUAGGCGGCUAAUUAAGUCAAAUGUGAAAUCCCCGAGCUUAACUUGGGAAUUGCAUUCGAUACUGGUUAGCUAGAGUGUGGGAGAGGAUGGUAGAAUUCCAGGUGUAGCGGUGAAAUGCGUAGAGAUCUGGAGGAAUACCGAUGGCGAAGGCAGCCAUCUGGCCUAACACUGACGCUGAGGUGCGAAAGCAUGGGGAGCAAACAGGAUUAGAUACCCUGGUAGUCCAUGCCGUAAACGAUGUCUACUAGCCGUUGGGGCCUUUGAGGCUUUAGUGGCGCAGCUAACGCGAUAAGUAGACCGCCUGGGGAG
rnacentral:rRNA from 1 species